rnacentral:misc_RNA from 1 species
GAUGAAGAACGUAGCGAAAUGCGAUAAGUAGUGUGAAUUGCAUAAUUCAGUGAAUCAUCGAAUCUUUGAACGCACAUUGCGCCCCUUGGUAUUCCAUGGGGCAUGCCUGUUCGAGCGUCAUUUGUACCUUCAAGCUCUGCUUGGUGUUGGGUGUUUGUCUCGCCUCUGCGUGUAGACUCGCCUCAAAACAAUUGGCAGCCGGCGUAUUGAUUUCGGAGCGCAGUACAUCUCGCGCUUUGCACUCAUAACGACGACGUCCAAAAGUACAUUUUUACACUCUUGACCUCGGAUCAGGUAGGGAUACCCGCUGAACUUAAGCAUAUCAAUAAGCGGAGGA